UCUCUCCUCAGAGAGACACAUCAGAUUCCAGGUCACAAAUUAGUGCACUGUGGUGGCGACACGUGUCCCAAACAUGAAAACGCAUCACUUCAUUACAUGGAGAUUUGCUGGGCUUUUGCACCACUUCGUCAAAUAUGCUGGGCUUCGUAAUUGAUAUGUGUGUAUUAAUGUUAUUGGGUUUUCGUCGGGUGUGUUGUUCGGUCCACGAUGGUGUUAACCCUAAUCAGGCGCAAAAGUUCUUCUCUCCACUGCGUUGUACGGCGCCGGUGAUGGUUGAGCUCCUUCGCGAUUUCUAAAACGGUGUGCAUUAUGAUAUCUUCGUGUUAACUCUCAUUAAUUCAGAUUCGUGGUUUGAAUCGGCGAGGCUGUGUGCUUUCUGUAUAAAUAUGUAUUGUAUUUCCCUUCCAAAAUUCGCACUCUCUUCAUCUCUCCAAUCUCUCUCAUAGUAUAACGAUUGGAGUUCCUGUCAAUCAAUCUUCUAAACUCCGAUUAGGCCGGAUUGGCGAAUGGCAUCUCGAUUGGCUCAAAAGUCUAUCUGAAUUGAUCCAAGAGUUUCUGGAACUGGGUCAUCGGGAUCAUCACUGACUGUUACAGUUCCUCUCAAGUCUAGCUCAGAUAAGAAGAACACAUGGAUCUGAACAAAAGUUUCCAUGGCCACCGUUUCUGUCAUUAUGACUGAGUGAACGUCUCCACCUUAUCUGUGAAACUUUACCCACCUUCCACCUAUAGCUUCGUCUCCUUCGAUAUCGUUUCAUCAUAGUGGUUGCUCAUUGAACGCAACAGCAACAUACACCGAUGACAUUCUGUCAGGGAGACAGAUCAAUGGCUCCCAUUGGUGAGAUGGAUGAGACGAAGAUAAAGGUUGCUUCAAGGAUAGGAUUUUCUGUUUGUUCUAUUUAUUGUAUAACAUUUGUUUUUCUCUAAAUAAUCAGGUUUUAUAUCAUGGGUAAAUCAUUCUUUUUGUAGUUAAUUUUUAUUUUUUUUAUGUUAACUUUGUUUGUCGUAAAAAUCGUCUCCCAUUACAGUUAACUAAUUUUUUGAUAUAAUUAUUAAAUUUUUGGCAGCUU